GCGCGAGUGGCGGAACGGCAGACGCAGCGGCUUUAGGUGCCGCCGCCUUCGGGCGUGGGGGUUCGAGUCCCCCCUCGCGCA
rnacentral:tRNA from 1 species